UCGGGCGUAGCUCAGCGGUAGAGCGGCUGACUGUUAAUCAGCGGGUCGCUGGUUCGAAUCCAGCCGCCCGAGCCA
rnacentral:tRNA from 1 species